AUAAUGAUACUCCCGUGCAGUCGAGGUUAAGUCCCAGAGUACGGCCCGGACGGAUGUCGGGGAGGUGGAAUUCCUGUGA
ncrna:unclassified sequences pemK RNA